rnacentral:rRNA from 1 species
AUGGAUCCACCCGUGCCCCGCCCCUGCCUCCUGCAACUAGCCCCAACCGACUCCUCACGUCCAUCCCGCGCGCCGGCCAUCGACUUCCUCCCUCGUGCCGGCCGCCAACUCCCUCCCGCGCGCCACCACCGCCCCCCGCGCUGGUCGCCGCCUCCCUCCCCCACGUCGUCGGACGCCGCGUCCCUCCCCAAUGCCGCCCUCCGCCUCCUUCCUCCCCAACGCCGCCCUCCGCUGCCUGCCUUCCCCGCGCAGCCCUCCACCGCCUCCCACCCCAACGCCACCCUCCGCCGCCUGCCUCCCCCGCUCCGCCCUCCGCCGCCUCCCUCCCGAUGUCUUGCCACCGCGUAUCUUUCCUGCGAUGCGGAUUGCUCCCUCCACAGCAACAACUACGUUGGCGUGCACAGGAGUGUUUUUGUUCCUAGACCAGUUGCUCAACGACAGAAUUGUGUAUCGCACAGUACAUGUAUUACUACUGUGAAGGUUAAGAAAUCGGAACUUCAAAGAAGUAUUGACAGCAUAACUACUGUAUAUUCACGGAGUCGGGUUUUGCUCCUGCAUCAUCUCGUCUCCUCCGUUCAGCAAAAGCCACCAGAUAAGUUCACACAUAUGGUUUUGUGCUUUCUAUAA